rnacentral:rRNA from 1 species
UACAGAGGGUGCAAGCGUUGUUCGGAAUUAUUGGGCGUAAAGAGCUCGUAGGCGGUUUGUCGCGUCUGCUGUGAAAACUGGAGGCUCAACCUCCAGCCUGCAGUGGGUACGGGCAGACUAGAGUGCGGUAGGGGAGAUUGGAAUUCCUGGUGUAGCGGUGGAAUGCGCAGAUAUCAGGAGGAACACCAAUGGCGAAGGCAGAUCUCUGGGCCGUAACUGACGCUGAGGAGCGAAAGCAUGGGGAGCGAACAGG